CAGCAGCCGCGGUAAUACGAGGGGGGCAAGCGUUGUUCGGAAUUAUUGGGCGUAAAGGGUGCGUAGGCGGUUCAGCAAGUCUCGUGUGAAAUCUUCGGGCUCAACCCGAAGUCUGCACGGGGAACUACUGGGCUUGAGUAAUGGAGAGGUAAGUGGGAUUUCCGGUGUAGCGGUGAAAUGCGUAGAUAUCGGAAGGAACACCUGUGGCGAAAGCGGCUCACUGGACAUUUACUGACGCUGAUGCACGAAAGCUAGGGGAGCAAACAGGAUUAGAUACCCCGGUAGUCCCUGUCUCUUAUAA
rnacentral:rRNA from 1 species